rnacentral:rRNA from 2 species
CACCUGUUUAACAAAAACAUGUCUUUUUGAAAUAAAUUUAAAGUCUGACCUGCCCACUGAAAUUUUUAAAUGGCCGCAGUAUUCUAACUGUGCAAAGGUAGCAUAAUCAUUAGUCUUUUAAUUGAAGGCUGGAAUGAAUGGUUGGACGAAAUAUUAACUGUUUCAUUUUAAUUUUUUAUAGAAUUUUAUUUUUUAGUCAAAAAGCUAAAAUAAUAUUAAAAGACGAGAAGACCCUAUAAAUCUUUAUAUUUAAUUUAUUUUUAUUAUAAAGAUUAAUUUUAUUUAAAUAAAUUUAAAUAUUUUAUUGGGGUGAUAUUAAAAUUUAAAAAACUUUUAAUUUUUAAAAACAUUAAUUUAUGAAUAAUUGAUCCAGUAAUAUUGAUUAAAAAUUUAAGUUACUUUAGGAUAACAGCGUAA